rnacentral:misc_RNA from 1 species
UCCGGUUUGUCACCGGCAGUCUCAUUAGAGUGCCCAACUGAAUGUAGCAACUAAUGACAAGGGUUGCGCUCGUUGCGGGACUUAACCCAACAUCUCACGACACGAGCUGACGACAGCCAUGCAGCACCUCCGCAGCGGUUCUUGCGAAAAGGGAUAUUUCUAUCCUUGUCCACUGCGCUUCGAAUCCUGGUAAGGUUCUUCGCGUUGCCUCGAAUUAAACCACAUGUUCCACCGCUUGUGCGGGUCCCCGUCAAUUUCUUUGAGUUUCAACCUUGCGGCCGUACUCCCCAGGCGGUCAACUUCACGCGUUAGCUUCGUUACCAAGGGAAUCAAUCCCCCGACAACCAGUUGACAUAGUUUAGGGCGUGGACUAC